rnacentral:lncRNA from 1 species
CGACCAUAUCUGCCUCGCCUUCGCCGGCCUCACAGCCGACGCGCGUGUGCUCGUCAACCGCGCGCGCAUUGAGGCGCAGAGCUACCGCCUCACACUAGACGAGAAGGUGCGUUUUGUGGCCUGCAGGGCAGUGGGCCGGUGUGCGGGUAGGCGUGGGUUCAGGUUAGGAUGGCGAUGCUAUCGGUGGCCUGGGUUGCGGCGGCUGGUGGAUCCUGAUGGAUAGCAGCGUGCUGGCUCUGGGUCGUAAAGGCAUCAGCUGUGAGCGGUGGGCCGCGGGUAACUCACGGGCCUGGGCUGGCGAAAACCAGGCGUAGCGCAGCGAGCUACUUGGCAGUGGUGUUUUGGCAACCCGGACAGAGGCAGUCAAGACGGAACAGUGUCUGGCCACACUGGAUACUGGGGCUUCCCCCGCCGCGAUGGCUCCUUGAUUCAGGCAGCAUCACGUCACCACUUGUCCUCGCAUCCCCUCCC